GAUUGAACGCUGGCGGCAGGCCUAACACAUGCAAGUCGAGCGGCAGCACGGGUACUUGUACCUGGUGGCGAGCGGCGGACGGGUGAGUAAUGCCUAGGAAUCUGCCUGGUAGUGGGGGAUAACGCUCGGAAACGGACGCUAAUACCGCAUACGUCCUACGGGAGAAAGCAGGGGACCUUCGGGCCUUGCGCUAUCAGAUGAGCCUAGGUCGGAUUAGCUAGUUGGUGAGGUAAUGGCUCACCAAGGCGACGAUCCGUAACUGGUCUGAGAGGAUGAUCAGUCACACUGGAACUGAGACACGGUCCAGACUCCUACGGGAGGCAGCAGUGGGGAAUAUUGGACAAUGGGCGAAAGCCUGAUCCAGCCAUGCCGCGUGUGUGAAGAAGGUCUUCGGAUUGUAAAGCACUUUAAGUUGGGAGGAAGGGCAUUUACCUAAUACGUAAGUGUUUUGACGUUACCGACAGAAUAAGCACCGGCUAACUCUGU
rnacentral:rRNA from 1 species